AUGGCGGAGACAGCGAUCGCCGCGGUGCUCUCCAAGUUCGGUGAGCUCGCCGCGAAUGAGGCCAAGGUGCUGAUUCAGGUGGGCGAUGACAUGAUGCUGCUGCGAGACCGGCUGGAGUGGCUGCAGGCCUUCGUCCGGGACGCCGACCGCAAGCGCCGGGCCGGCACCGACGGGCUAACCUGCGUGUGGGUGCGCCAGACACGCGACGUGGCUUUCGAAGCGGAGGACGCGCUCGACCAAUUCUUCUACGAGGUUGACCUAAGAAGUCACGGUUACCCACGUUGGAAAAUUUGGCGUGCACAUUUGAUGGGCUUCGGUAACCAAAUUCUUGUUCGCCAUAGGUUAUCUAAUCAAAUCAAAAGAAUCAAGAGCAGACUCAACCAAAUCUCAGAAAAUCAAAGGGAAUAUAUGAUUGCGCAUACACCGUUAGCGGCAUUGACAUCUUCCACUAUAGCCAUUGCGGCCUGGCGGGAUGACUAUAAGAAUUCGGUGGGCUUUGACGCUGAUGUGCUGUAUCUUGAGAAACUGCUGCUUGGUGAAGCUGAACGUCCGCUAACGUUCAUCCCCAUAGUUGGGGAAAGUGGUGUUGGAAAGAGAACACUUGGAAAAGUUCUCUCUUCAAAGCUGAUGGACAAAUUCUUGCCUUUAAUCCGGCUCACUGUGCCACAGGGAUGUACCCCGAAUCUUCUCUUCAAAGAAGUCUUGGAGCGUCUAGAAGAACAGCGCGAAGAGGAAGAAAAUGCAGACUGUGGCCAGCCAUAUGAAUGCAACAGUAAUCUAACUGACAAGAUCCGUCACCUUCUUGGUAAUAAGAAGUACUUGUUGGUUCUUGGUGGCAUAUGCUCCAAAGCCAUGCUCAACUGUUUGAAGGAGAGCCUGCCUGAUAACAAGAAUGGCAGCGGGGUGAUACUGACGUUCGACGGUGAGGAUGAAGAACUGGCAUGGCACGCAGAUACCAUGAACAGGGAGGGCAUCAGCGGAAUCCACCAGUUGAGCCGUUUGAAUAAGGAAAGAAGCGGAGAACUCUUCCGUUCAAGGGCCUUCAAGACAGAAAAGUCAGAUGAAGAGGGCUACAAGAGCAAGUACGACCAGAUCGUGUACGAUAUAACAGGGGGCUAUCCUCUGGCAAUAGUGGUUCUUGGCGGACUCCUUCGAUUCAAAGAGAGGCCGGGUCAGUUGGAAGCUGUUCUGCAACAGCUUAGACCUGCACCUGGUAUGGAAGCUGUGCUACAAGUACGCAGACCUGGACCUGGAAUGGAAGCAGAAGGCGGCAAAGAUUGUAUGCAUUGUCAUAUUAGCCCUCCUCCAACACAAGUUGAUCUGUCCAGCACAAGAACGGCGAUGGAGAGGGUCUUCUGGGCGAGCUUUGAAGAUCUCGCCAACGACCUCAAGUCGUGCUUCCUCUACUUUGCUGCUUUCUCCAAGAACAUAGGAUUCUAUGCCGACGAGGUCGUGCGGAUGUGGAUCGGCGAGGGCUUCAUCAAACCGCAAAAGGGCAAGACCAUAGAGGAGUUGGGCCACGGCUACCUCAAGGAACUGGUCUUGAGAUGCCUUGUUGACAUCCUGGAGAUGGUUGACGGUGACAUUAAGAUAAUCAAGGUCCACCCAAGACUCCAUGUGUUCCUGCAGUCAGAGGUUCGCGAGGCCGGCUUUGUUGAGCUUCACGACACGAAUGAUGUGUUUGUGUCACCAUCAGUUCGCCGCCUCUCUUUCCGCAGUUUUGAUAGAAAAAAAGUCAAGUUCACCAAGAAGCUCCCUAAGCUACGCUCCUUCAUUUGCCGCGUGGAGGAGAGUGAGCCAGAACAGAGGAAUGAUCGUUUCUAUGAUCUCAACUUUCUGCGUGGAUCCAAGUUCCUCCGUCUAAUCUAUGUGAAUGGGUUGAGGCUCUGUGAAUUGCCCCAUGACAUCGGAAAAAUGAUUCAUUUGCGGUACCUAUAUGUUCGCUGCAAGGACCUCAAGGAGCUCCCGCGCAGCAUUAAGGGGCUGCUCAACUUGCAGACUCUGGACAUAAGGGAGACUCUAGUCGACAAGAUUGACCCAGGCUUCUGGAAGAUAAAGACACUCCGACAUGUGCUCGCAGAGCAGCUCACGCUUCCAAAAACCCUGGACCUGGAGGAUGAACUGGAAGAGCUGCAAACGCUGCAUGGUGUGAAGCCCCCGGGAGGAGAAUGGAAUCAAGAGAAUUGUCCACUGCGCAAGAUGACCAAACUCCAGUCGCUCCAUUUGCUCGGAAUCGAGCAUGGUAGACACGGAGCUGCACUGGAGAGUGCUCUUAAGGAGAUGUGUCUCCUUGUGGACUUGAGUCUCCAAGGUGAUGUCAUCCCUCAAUGCGUCUUCACUGGAGAGGGCCUCCAAUACCUUGAGACGGUACAGCUGGAUGGCUCGAUGCGGUGGCCUCACGUCUCAUCCAAUGUUUGCAAGGACCGACCAAACCUAGCUCAGCUUAUACUGAAAAAAAGCAAUGACGCGGAGCUGGAGAAGAUGGGCUUCACGAGCUUUGGUACCGUACCAGGUGUUUAUCGGCGUCCCAGCAAACAAGGAGAAAGUGCUGCGGCAAACCAGAACGCUGAGCACAAAGAUGAAGCAAGCUCCAGCGCAAAGGAACAACCGGAAUUCCAAGGUGAGGAAGCUGAAGCAAUACCAGAAGACCGAGGCCUUCAGGGACAGAAGAUGAUGCAAGUUCGCAAACAAAAGGGAGAGAUGAUGCAGACCAUCCCUCGGUGCCACCCUAGGCCUCCAGUCCGGCCGCCUAUGCCUCCAGUGCGGGCUAGGCCUCCAGUCCCGCCGCCUAUGCCUCCGGUGCGGCGUAUGCCUCCAGUCCCGCCGCCAGUGGAGAAUAUUGCUCGAAGGCGCAGCAGCCACAGAACCUAA
rnacentral:rRNA from 1 species